AUUGAACGCUGGCGGCAUGCCUUACACAUGCAAGUCGAACGGCAGCGGGCCUUCGGGUGCCGGCGAGUGGCGAACGGGUGAGUAAUGCAUCGGAACGUGCCAUUGAGUGGGGGAUAACGUAGCGAAAGUUGCGCUAAUACCGCAUAUUCUGUGAGCAGGAAAGCAGGGGACCGCAAGGCCUUGCGCUCUUUGAGCGGCCGAUGUCAGAUUAGCUAGUUGGUGAGGUAAAGGCUUACCAAGGCGACGAUCUGUAGCGGGUCUGAGAGGAUGAUCCGCCACACUGGAACUGAGACACGGUCCAGACUCCUACGGGAGGCAGCAGUGGGGAAUUUUGGACAAUGGGCGCAAGCCUGAUCCAGCCAUGCCGCGUGAGUGAAGAAGGCCU
rnacentral:rRNA from 1 species